AUUGAACGCUGGCGGCAGGCUUAACACAUGCAAGUCGAGCGGAGAUGAGGUGCUUGCACCUUAUCUUAGCGGCGGACGGGUGAGUAAUGCUUAGGAAUCUGCCUAUUAGUGGGGGACCACAUUCCGAAAGGAAUGCUAAUACCGCAUACGUCCUACGGGAGAAAGCAGGGGAUCUUCGGACCUUGCGCUAAUAGAUGAGCCUAAGUCGGAUUAGCUAGUUGGUGGGGUAAAGGCCUACCAAGGCGACGAUCUGUAGCGGGUCUGAGAGGAUGAUCCGCCACACUGGGACUGAGACACGGCCCAGACUCCUACGGGAGGCAGCAGUGGGGAAUAUUGGACAAUGGGGGGAGCCCUGAUCCAGCCAUGCCGCGUGUGUGAAGAAGGCCUUAUGGUUGUAAAGCACUUUAAGCGAGGAGGAGGCUACUGAGACUAAUACUCUUGGAUAGUGGACGUUACUCGCAGAAUAAGCACCGGCUAACUCUGUGCCAGCAGCCGCCGUAAUAC
rnacentral:rRNA from 1 species